rnacentral:tRNA from 1 species
CGCCCUAAUAGGCUACCUAUUCAGAAGCAGCUCCUGACUGCGGGUCAGGAGGUUCCAGGUUCGAAUCCUGGUAGGGCAA